CACAUCAGUCAAGGCAUGCAGGGGAC
rnacentral:piRNA from 1 species